UCUGUGUCGCACGCUCCCUAUCUUACAGAUUCGCAUGCUACUCAAUACGACAAGCUAGUUAAAGCUCUUCAAAUGUUGAGGAAACCUCAUUUUCCCGUGGCUGUUAGUUUUGUAUAAGCCUAAUAUUCGUUGUAGCAAAUUGGAGCGUAUUUAAAAAUGCGUUCAGACCGCAACGGCCGCUGCACGUGUUCACCCACUAAGGUAAACAAAGUCGCGAUUCAAACUGCUAUAGCGCACCACCACGACCCCCGCUUUGCAGGGAAGUGCAGUACUUACCCAGUAAUCUUGCUGUAGACUACAGACACCAAAUAAGAUGAUCCUACAGUGGGGUAGUACGACUAUAGACGAUGGCGCCAUACUGAGGAUUGAUCCGUUUGUCCGUGGUUUGAAAGGAUAUUUUCGAGUGGACCUGCUAAAGCAUGCUCAUUGGCAAGAAAGGUGUUGUUCAUUCCACUCGGUCUGCAUCGGCUAAAGGGAGCAAUGGGUUAUUCUUCGUUGAUUUUUUUGCAUUCCUUGCUGAUCUACUGCGUCAUGCAGAGUGCCAACGCCAGCCACCUAAACAUCGCAGCAAACAAUAAGCCAUUCUACUAACAUUGGGAGAUUAUUAAGGCGUACGUUCCAAACGCCAGUAUACUCAGUUCAUGACCUUUGAAGAACGCCGGCGCCGAAGUCGUAAGACUAUUUGACUGUCAUAUGUACCCAUCUAAGUGCUUUGUUGGCAUCGCUAUUGUUCUCUAGUGCAAGAGCGCAUGGUAUAGGUCUCACGAGUAACUCGAUGAUCUGAAAUUGCCAUUCGAAGACCUGUGUCGAGAUUUUUUUCUUUGACUGAUCAAUUGAGGUAAAGCGGAGUUAGCUGUAGUCAGUCGACGAGGGAUAUGGGUUGGUGUUUACUGGAUCACAUCUUCGCAGUGCUAUCGGCGGCGUAGUGACCUGAACUGCACCUGUGAACGGUUUGGGUAAAGCGACCCAACCCAUUUUAGUGUUGGUCAGGGCUAAUGCGCGUGCUAUAGCUAUCUGCGAGUACGCGUGUCUAAAUUCAGUCCAUCACAGCGCAUGUGACAACGUUUGCAAGACAAGUCACUGCGGCCUAACAAGGCUAGAUGAGAGCGGCAGACUACCGUUUGACAUUUGUUUAUCCGAACGCGCCUUGAUCAUCUUUACCGAUGUAGAGGCUUCUACGAUUAUAGUAUCCAUACUUUACGAGUCAUGAUCUCCACGACGCAUAAACUUACGAGUUAUGUUCAUCGAAGAUCAGCGGCCUGUACCGAAGCAGCAGCAGCUUAUAGAUGAUAUGCAACCGUACGGCCGUUCGGACGCUGUACCGGCGCCUAAAUGCCCGCAUGGCUCUGUUUUAUCUGGGGCUAAUUUCCGAUUCUUGAGGGAAACGCAGCGACC